rnacentral:rRNA from 1 species
ACGAACGCUGGCGGCGCGCCUAAUGCAUGCAAGUCGAGCGGUCCCGAUUUCCGCAAGGUUAUCGGGACAGCGGCGGACGGCUGAGUAACGCGUGAGUGACCUGCCCUCGAGUGGGGGAUAGCCUCGGGAAACCGGGAUUAAUACCGCAUUCGCCCACUGAUGUAAGCGUCGGUGAGGAAAGGCAACGGGUAACCGUUGCUGCUCGAGGAGGGACUCGCGUCCUAUCAGGUAGUUGGCGGGGUAACGGCCCACCAAGCCUUCGACGGGUAGCCGGUGUGAGAGCACGAUCGGCCAGAGGGGGACUGAGACACGGCCCCCACUCCUACGGGAGGCAGCAGCAGGGGAUCUUGCACAAUGGGCGAAAGCCUGAUGCAGCGACGCCGCGUGAGGGACGAAGGCUCUCGGGUCGUAAACCUCUUUUCUCUGGGAAGAGCAAGGACGGUACCAGAGGAAUAAGUCACGGCUAACUACGU